GUGGGGAAUAUUGGACAAUGGGCGAAAGCCUGAUCCAGCCAUGCCGCGUGUGUGAAGAAGGUCUUCGGAUUGUAAAGCACUUUAAGUUGGGAGGAAGGGCAGUAAGUUAAUACCUUGCUGUUUUGACGUUACCGACAGAAUAAGCACCGGCUAACUUCGUGCCAGCAGCCGCGGUAAUACGAAGGGUGCAAGCGUUAAUCGGAAUUACUGGGCGUAAAGCGCGCGUAGGUGGUUUUGUAAGUUGGAGGUGAAAUCCCCGGGCUCAACCUGGGAACUGCCUGCAAAACUGCAUGACUAGAGUACGGUAGAGGGUAGUGGAAUUUCCUGUGUAGCGGUGAAAUGCGUAGAUAUAGGAAGGAACACCAGUGGCGAAGGCGACUACCUGGACUGAUACUGACACUGAGGUGCGAAAGCGUGGGGAGCAAACAGGAUUAGAAACCCCAGUAGUCC
rnacentral:rRNA from 1 species